GUCCUGGGGAAUAAAGUGUGGGAACUCACCCAAGAUCCACCCACACCUCCCCCCAAAUAAAUAAUAUCCACUCGUUUGCAUAUAUAAACGUGUGCACACACACACUGACAGGUGAACACAUAUACACUCAUACACACACUCACAGACACACAUACUCAGACACACACACUCACAGAAACACAAAUUAUUCAUAUUUUUUAAAAUUUAAAAAAGUCCAUCCAGCCUCCCUACCUGGAGAGCUGGCGUGGACCUGUCCCUGG